rnacentral:rRNA from 1 species
GACGAACGCUGGCGGCGUGCCUAACACAUGCAAGUCGAACGGAGCUGAGGAGCUUGCUCCUUAGCUUAGUGGCGGACGGGUGAGUAACGCGUGAGUAACCUGCCUCUGAGAGGGGAAUAACGUUCUGAAAAGAACGCUAAUACCGCAUAACGUAUUGGAGCCGCAUGACUUUGAUACCAAAGAUUUUAUCGCUCGGAGGUGGACUCGCGUCCGAUUAGCUCGUUGGUGAGGUAACGGCUCACCAAGGCGACGAUCGGUAGCCGGACUGAGAGGUUGAUCGGCCACAUUGGGACUGAGACACGGCCCAG